GACGGAGGAUGCAAGCGUUAUCCGGAAUGAUUGGGCGUAAAGCGUCCGCAGGUGGCAGUUCAAGUCUGCUGUCAAAGACCGGGGCUUAACUUCGGAAAGGCAGUGGAAACUGAACAGCUAGAGUAUGGUAGGGGCAGAGGGAAUUCCUGGUGUAGCGGUGAAAUGCGUAGAGAUCGGGAGGAACAUCUGUGGCGAAGGCGACUGCCUGGACCAGCACUGACACUGAGGCACGAAAGCGUGGGGAGCAAACAGG
rnacentral:rRNA from 1 species